rnacentral:rRNA from 1 species
ACUCAAAUGAAUAGACGGGGGCCCGCACAAGCAGUGGAGCAUGUGGUUCAAUUCGACGCAACGCGAAGAACCUUACCUGGGUUUGACAUCCUCUGACCGCCUAUGAAAGUAGGUUUCCUCGCAAGAGGCAGAGAGACAGGUGCUGCAUGGCUGUCGUCAGCUCGUGUCGUGAGAUGUUGGGUUAAGUCCCGCAACGAGCGCAACCCUUAUUUCUAGUUGCCAUCGGGUUAAGCCGGGCACUCUAGAGAGACCGCCGGUGACAAACCGGAGGAAGGUGGGGAUGACGUCAAGUCCUCAUGGCCUUUAUAUCCAGGGCUACACACGUGCUACAAUGGCGUAUACAAAGGGCUGCGAACCCGCGAGGGGGAGCUAAUCCCAAAAAGUACGCCCCAGUUCAGAUUGGAGUCUGCAACUCGACUCCAUGAAGCCGGAAUUGCUAGUAAUCGCGGAUCAGAACGCCGCGGUGAAUACGUUCCCGGGCCUUGUACACACCGCCCGU